AUACUUACUUGGAAGGGAAGAUAGCAAUCAUAAUCAAGACGGUAGUUUUCCCAGGGUGAGGUCUCUCUACUGCAUUUCAGAUAUUCUGACCCUUGUGACUUUCUCAAAUGUGAGAAAGUGCAUAAUAUGUGGGCAAGCUUUCCCCUA
rnacentral:snRNA from 1 species